rnacentral:rRNA from 1 species
GCACGGAGAUUAGCCGAUCCUUAUUCCUACAGAUACCGAUCAAGAUCCCUACACGUAGGGAGGUUUCUUCCUGUAUAAAAGCAGUUUACAAUCCAUAGGACCGUCUUCCUGCACGCGGCAUGGCUGGUUCAGGCUUGCGCCCAUUGACCAAUAUUCCUCA